rfam:Felis catus breed Abyssinian Contig190857.1, whole genome shotgun sequence. [26-MAY-2016]
GCCUGUGUGGCUCGGUCGGUUGAGCGUCUGACUUCGGCUCAGGUCAUGAUCUCACGAUCCGUGGGUUCCAGCCCCGCGUCGGGCU